rnacentral:rRNA from 1 species
UCGGGAAUUUUGGGCAAUGGGCGAAAGCCUGACCCAGCAACGCCGCGUGAAGGAUGAAGUAUUUCGGUAUGUAAACUUCGAAAGAAUAGGAAGAAUAAAUGACGGUACUAUUUAUAAGGUCCGGCUAACUACGUGCCAGCAGCCGCGGUAAUACGUAGGGACCAAGCGUUGUUCGGAUUUACUGGGCGUAAAGGGCGCGUAGGCGGCAAUUCAAGUCAUCUGUGAAAUCUCCGGGCUUAACUCGGAACGGUCAGAUGAUACUGCUGUGCUAGAGUACAGAAAGGGCAAUCGGAAUUCUUGGUGUAGCGGUGAAAUGCGUAGAUAUCAAGAGGAACACCUGAGGCGAAGGCGGGUUGCUAGGCUGAUACUGACGCUGAGGCGCGAAAGCUAGGGUAGCAAACGGGAUUAGAUACCCCCGUAGUCCCCUGAGCGGGCUGGCAAGGCGCAU